UCCCUCUGUUCCUCUUUAAUCUGGAGCCCUAAUUCUGUACACAAACUCAAAGCGUAUAAUUAAAUUGUACACAUUUGUAAACAGAAACUCGAUUCCUAUGGCUUUCUAGUACCAGCUGUUAUAAAAAAACGAGAAAAUAAAAUAUUAGGUAUGGGUACAUUGGGGCUUAGAACAUUGUUCAUCAUAAUGCUACUUACGAUUUUUGACUUGAUAUAGUUUGUUCGAAAAAUCGGUGAAUGGUAUCUACCUCACCUGUUUUAAAACGAGUAUUUAUUGUAGUCGAUACCACUUAUUUGCGUGUGGGUCGGAAUCGGAAGUUGUCCGUCAAUAGCAAGAUUUCAGUUUAUUUCAACCCUAGACAUGUUUAUGGAUGAACACACCGACACACUACUAUGGAAUUCACGCAUGAAUACUCCUUUAUAAAGGUCAAAAUUUAAUAUUAUCCUCAAUCCCUAUAUAGUUUCUGACAAGUAUCUCAGAAGAGUUGAAGAAAAUUACCUAACAACGUUUCCCAUCGUGAUUUGUGUUGCACGACAUUUCAGUAGAAUAAUGCGAUUCCGCGAGCUCGUGACCGUCACAUUUGUAGAACUUCAAUAAAAUUAAAGUGUUCUGAAUGUAUAAUACUCAAUAAAUAUCAAACGAAUUAAAUUUACAAACACAUAUCAAAAUUAUAACAAUAUGUAAUCAAAUAUUAUGUCAAUAUAACAUAACGAAGAGCAACAAACUUUAAUUCGAUUUACUCAGUUGCAGUGAGUGCGGAAACUAUGGACGUUAAAUGAAUAUUAUCUUAACAUCAAAAAUCGUAACUACGAAUUGGUAACUUACGGACGGACGAACACCACAGGGACGAUGUAAGGCGUGUACUCGAAGUAUACAAAUAGUACAAGCAAACAGCUGCGGGAACGAACGCUCGUGGAUUUCAAUUAUUCUCGAACGAGAAAAACGGUUCAGUUUAGACUGAUCUGCAUGGAGUCGUUGAAUUGUGUAGUUAUCGAAAAGAAUACACGAUUUACAUUUUUGUAUCAAUAACAUACACUGCCAUCAUAAUUCUGACAAUCUGCGACUUUUAAACGAUUUUGGGGAGAUCAAAAUCUUUUUAUACAACCCCAGAGUUCCGGACACAACUUCAUAUUAUGUAAUAUGAACUUAAACUUCAACCCUCCUACCCAAAUUCAGACUGAUUAAGAAUAUAUGGAUAUUAAGUAAGUAGGAAUAUAACGUAUAAUACAGUGUAGCGCCAUUGACAUAUGUUCAUUGCGAGGUUUGAAACGAUAUGUGAGAAAAAUGAUAACGCGAUAUUUCAAGAAUUUUUACCUUAAAUACGUCUGUGGCCGUAAUUCACAUAUCACAUAUAAAUACAAGAGCGUACGUGUAUAAUACUAUUCGCGGAUAUAAAAUAUUAUUAUUAUAUACGGCAAUUAUAUACGCUUCGAUAAUAUUACCGUAAUUAAAGGCGACGACGACGACGACGACAACGACGUGGGAGAAACGAAUUUUUUUUUCAAUGCGCUCAAUUCAAACACAAUAUUAUACACAAACAGACCUUUAUUGUUAUAAUGAUAUUUAUAUAAAUAUGUGUGUGUGUGUGUGUGUGUGCGUGUUCGUGCAUAAUAUUUUAUUAUAUAUACGGUCGGCGAUACGCCCACACGCUUGUCGAAUUCGUCUCGUUUUAUACUUAUGGAAAAAAAUCGCGUUCUGUAUUAUUACUCGUAAUUCAUGAUGUUAUUAUAUUAACAUUGCGCUAUUGGAAAAAUGUCGUAUUUUAUUCUUUCAUUUUGUUUUGUCGGUCUCUGCGAAUUCAAACGUGCAUCUUUAAAGCGCAUAGGCUUAUAUUGCAACAUUCGACGAAUCUAUCGCGAAAGAACAAAAUAUACUAUGAUUUUCAGUGAACGUAUAGUAGGUAAUAGGUAUACUGGUCGCACAAAACGUGCUUUCAAGCAAACUAAAAAUACAACAUAUUUAACAAAAUAAAAGGCGAUCGCCACUAGACCCGACUAGGACACAAAUUCUGUUUUCGUACACAGGCUGAUUCGCCAAGCAUACUCGUCCCUGUUUUUCAUUUAAUAAGCGCAAUACUUUUAUUGAAAUUCUAAUUUUAUUUAUUUUUAAUUAAUACACUAGCAGACCUUAUUAUUAUUAUUUAUGAGUAUGAACAUUUUAAUGUAUCCAAUUUCAAACGCAUAUUUUGUCAGUAAUUAAAAUAUUAUACUAAGCAUAAUAGUUUUUGAAAACAAUUUUUCGGAAAAUUUCGAUUUCGAUGCGAUAAUGUUUACACAAAAAAAUAUUACUAUUCUAUUUAAUUGUCAGUUAAGGUGUUUUCUCCUUUAAAAAACGAAAGAUCAAAAGAUUUAGAAAUCUGUAUUGUUGAAGAAAUAAUAGGUUUGGGAAAGGAAGUGUAACUAUAUAGCUAUACCCUACAAAAUUAGGUUUAAUUUUGUGAUAUUGUAUAUUAUUUUUAUUCGGCACCUAAGUUUCUUUUUACCCACAAAUUAUAAAUUUGAUUAUCACUAUUAUAUUACACUUCCACGGUAGAAGGUGACGGUAUAUCGUUAUAAGGUGUACACUGUACAAUAAAAAAUAAUAAUUACAAAACAUAUUAUUAUAUUAUACAUUUUAUUUAUUGUAUAUUUAUUAUGUGCUUAUAUAAUUUAUAUCAUAUUAUUGAAUUAUUCUCGAACAGAGAGUCGUAUAUAGUCUUUGCGAACCCGUUUACCUAGCACACAUUAAAAUGUCACGAGGUACAGAUUUUUUUUCUUUUCGCUACAAUAAUUUAUCGCCGUUUCGAUAGUACCUGCGUUACCUAUAGGCUAUAAAAUAUUUUGUUUAAUUUUUUUUUUUUUUUUUUUGAAACAUGAUAAUAAUUUAUUACGCGUAUUGCAAAAUCUACCUAUAUUCUUGCAGCUUUGUACACAAUUCGAGCUUAGAUCGUAUACGAUUAAAAACGAAAGUUAAUAACAUACACUAGAUAUUAUUAAAAUUUAUUAGACUACGUAGGGUUUUCGAAUAAUGUUUCCUAAAUAACGUCGUUGUCGUCUCAAGAAUUCUUAAAAUCAUAUUAUUAGAUUAUACAUUUUUAUGUGUAAUCUGAGGAAAAUAGAACGCUGUAAGUGAAAAUGCUAAUAUACUUAUUUUAGUGAAUUAACUUAGCGAAUCCAUUACAUUAUAAGUUUUAUUUUAU